rnacentral:rRNA from 1 species
UACAGAGGGUGCAAGCGUUGUUCGGAAUUAUUGGGCGUAAAGCGCGUGUAGGCGGCUUUGCAAGUCGGGCGUGAAAGCCCUCGGCUCAACCGAGGAAGUGCACCCGAAACUGCUGAGCUUGAGUGCCGGAGAGGAUGGCGGAAUUCCCCAAGUAGAGGUGAAAUUCGUAGAUAUGGGGAGGAACACCGGUGGCGAAGGCGGCCAUCUGGACGGUAACUGACGCUGAGACGCGAAAGCGUGGGUAGCAAACAGG